ensembl:lncRNA
UAACGGUCGGUGGCAGCCCGCGUGCGCCGCCCGCCGGGGACUCGCGCCUGCCACGAGGGAGCGUCCGCGUCCCGCGAGCCCGCUCCGCGGAGCAGAGGUGAUAAGUAUGAUGCUUCCAUGUUUUCAGCUAAGUUCACUUUCAAACUGUGGGGUUCCUCCAAAUGUUGGCUGAAAUUUAUUCUUGCAUGUCCCAAGGCUCAUCUGCAGGAGUCCACAGUUCCUAAUGGAUCUAGUGUCCUGGCUGUAGGAAGAGGAGAGUCUGCAGACAGGAAGAUUCAGCCAUCGAUCUUUGAAAUUUCCUGACAUCCGUUUCAGUCUAAAUGGAAAAGAAUUGGAAAAAUCAAGCGCUCAGGGGAUUUAAAUAUGUUUUGCAUGUUUCUGUUUAUAGACGACAGGAUUUUUCCAGUUGAGCUCCUGGGUGUCCAUGUAGGGGAAGGGGAAACUCUUCUUCAUCAUCAAUUUUAUUGAAAAUGCUUUUGAUAAAAAUGUUGCUGAAAUAAUUUCUGUUUGAAACAAAGUGAAGGAAAAAAUGAAAUAAAUUUUAUAUGGUGACUGUUUUUCUAAAAUGU